CUUUCCCUCUGUCGGCAGGCCUAACACAUGCAAGUCGAGCGGAUGAAGGGAGCUUGCUCCUGGAUUCAGCUGCGGACGGGCGAGUAAUGCCUAGGAAGCUGCCUGGUAGUGGGGGAUAACGUCCGGAAACGGGCGCUAAUACCGCAUCCGUCCUGAGGGAGAAAGUGGUGGAUCUUCGGACCUCACGCUAUCAGAUGAGCCUAGUUCGGAUUAGCUAGUUGGUGGGGUAAAGGCCUACCAAGGCGACGAUCCGUAACUGGUCUGAGAGGAUGAUCAGUCACACUGGAACUGAGACACGGUCCAGACUCCUACGGGAGGCAGCAGUGGGGAAUCUUGGACAAUGGGCGAAAGCCUGAUCCAGCAAUGCCGCGUGUGUGAAGAAGGUCUUCGGAUUGUAAAGCGCUUUAAGUUGGGAGGAAGGACAGUAAGUUAAUACCUUGCUGUUUUGACGUUACCAACAGAAUAAGCACCGGCUAACUUCGUG
rnacentral:rRNA from 1 species